rnacentral:lncRNA from 1 species
UGUUAGUAAAAUUGGUGCCAGUCAUUCUGAUAGGACACCGUCCAACUUAGUGUACCAUAUGAGGGCAGGAAAGGAAAUUGCCAAAGGGGAAAUUCAACAAACACGUGAGGGGCUAACAGAAAUGGUUGAAGGGUUUGUUACAAAACACAUUAUAAAUGCAAGAAACAGGGGAGGAGAGCAUACGGAGAUACAGGGAAGUCUUAGGGUUUGGCCCAAAUUGGAAUAAAAGCGCAGGAUAUUCUACUUACACCAUCCACCUUUCUCCAAUUAACAAAUCAAUUUCUCAAAUCGCCAAUUCUGCUCCACGAGAAAUAAUACCCUAUAGAUCCCCAAUUUCUUAAAAAACGCUAACUGAUGUGCAUCUCCAAUUGAAGUGCAAGCUAGGUCUAUUGUUAGGGGGCGAAGAAAACUGCUGUAUUCGGCAUCAAAGUAAGCACAGGGAGUUACAGGUUUUAGUUAUGAAUAAAGAAAUUGAUGGGUGGGAUAUGGAUGAUAGCGAAGAUCAGUACGGCAGCGUAGGAAGCAAUGACAUGGAAGAAUUGGUGGAACCUUUCCCAAAUACCGCAGCAAGCUUGAUUGCACCGAUGACCAUGAAAGUAGAGGUCAAGUAACGUUUUCAUCAUUUUAGACAGCCACAUUCUGAAUUUUCUGAAUCACUUUGAUCCAGUGUUCUGAGAAUUUCUUCUCAUGGCAGCUGUUGCCUGGCUCGAUGUCGGUCUUCUCAGAAGUACACCAGAAUGAUUUCCUAACCAAGCACCAAAUUUCAAUGGUUUUGAUUAAUUUCCUACAUGUCUUCCACGUAAUAUCACUAUCCUUAUUGUCACUCUCAUCAUCUGAAAUCCCACAUCUUAUUAUGAGCAUGACUAAUCAUCGUAAUAUGAUUGUUCCCUUCAUCAUCUCUUAUUUUGCUUCUUCGAUUUCUUGUGGUAUUAGCAAUCUGAAGGGUGCUAAAGGAUUUUACUAUUAAUUCUAUCCAAUUGAACUAGGAACUGGUACCUAAAUAGUGGAAGGGUUUCUGAAACCUGUCAUUCCAAUUCAACCUAUAAUUAGAAUAUAUCGUGUCACUUUCCAGGGACGUGUUUAGGUGUAUGCUCAGAUCAGAUGUUAGAUUGGUUUAACAUAGUUAUGAACUUGGGUAGGAAUUUCAUUUAAACAAUAUAACUUAGCUUACAUUGAAAUGAUUCAUAACCCUUUAUUACGUGGCUUUGAAAUGUUUCAUGAAAAAGAGGAACAAAUAAUUGUGUUUCCAUAAGAAGCUGAUUUUUAGCUGUUAUUUAAGUAUCAAAGAUGGCUGAUCUGAAAAAGAUAAAAGCCACUGAUGAACAUUGGAUCAGAAAGCCAAAUCUAGGAGUUGCAGAUUUUUGGAAUGAGCGUGCCAAAAACUAAUCUGGGAUUAGCGUUUUCUGGUAACUGUUUUUAAUUGCAAUUAAGUUUUUGUUUUAUGAAAUGUUAGCUAGUUUACAUGUCUCUUCUGUUGACCGCACCAUUUAGUUGAAUUUACUGCUCACUUUCACUGUUUAUCUGUAAGAAGUUUUGGCCAAACAGGCACUCAUCGGUUUCUGUUUUGCAUCUGAAAGAACUGUGCUGGUCUUAUCAAAAAGCUUAACGUGAUGGUUCCAGUGACAGCUAUUUCUCUCAAUAACUAAUUAUUCUAGAGGAUUUUGUUGCAAGUAGUAUUAUUAUUUCCCCUUUAUGUAUUGUACAAUUAGUACUGAAUAUCUUUUAUUCUUC